GUUAUAUGGUCAAGUGAAGAAGCGCAUACGGUGGAUGCCUUGGCAGUCAGAGGCGAUGAAAGACGUGGUAGCCUGCGAAAAGCUUCGGGGAGUCGGCAAACAGACUUUGAUCCGGAGAUGUCUGAAUGGGGGAACCCAGCCAUCAUAAGAUGGUUACCU
rnacentral:rRNA from 1 species